rnacentral:rRNA from 1 species
GAUAAACGCUGGCGGCGUGCCUAAUACAUGCAAGUCGAGCGAACAGACGAGGAGCUUGCUCCUCUGACGUUAGCGGCGGACGGGUGAGUAACACGUGGAUAACCUACCUAUAAGACUGGGAUAACUUCGGGAAACCGGAGCUAAUACCGGAUAAUAUAUUGAACCGCAUGGUUCAAUAGUGAAAGACGGUUUUGCUGUCACUUAUAGAUGGAUCCGCGCCGCAUUAGCUAGUUGGUAAGGUAACGGCUUACCAAGGCAACGAUGCGUAGCCGACCUGAGAGGGUGAUCGGCCACACUGGAACUGAGACACGGUCCAGACUCCUACGGGAGGCAGCAGUAGGGAAUCUUCCGCAAUGGGCGAAAGCCUGACGGAGCAACGCCGCGUGAGUGAUGAAGGUCUUCGGAUCGUAAAACUCUGUUAUUAGGGAAGAACAAAUGUGUAAGUAACUAUGCACGUCUUGACGGUACCUAAUCAGAAAGCCACGGCUAACUACGU